GGAUGAAGGCCUUCGGGUUGUAAACUAGCUUUUGUACGGAACGAAAAGGACUCUGGCUAAUACCUGGGGCACAUGACGGUACCGUAAGAAUAAAGCACCGGCUAACUACGUGCCAGCAGCCGCGGUAAUACGUAGGGUGCGAGCGUUAAUCGGAAUUACUGGGCGUAAAGCGUGCGCAGGCGGUUUUGUAAGACAGAGGUGAAAUCCCCGGGCUCAACCUGGGAACUGCCUUUGUGACUGCAAAGCUGGAGUGCGGCAGAGGGGGAUGGAAUUCCGCGUGUAGCAGUGAAAUGCGUAGAUAUGCGGAGGAACACCGAUGGCGAAGGCAAUCCCCUGGGCCUGCACUGACGCUCAUGCACGAAAGCGUGGGGAGCAAACAGGAUUAGGAUACCCUGGUAGUCCACGCCUAAACGAUGUCAACU
rnacentral:rRNA from 1 species